GCUGGGCGUGGUGGCGCAUGCCUGUAGUCCCAGCUACUCUAGAGGCUGAGGCAGGAGAAUCACUUGAACCCAGGAGGCGGAGGUUGCAGUGAGCUGGGAUCAGUCCACUGCACUCCAGCCUGGGUGACAGAGUGAGCCUCUGUCUCCA
rnacentral:sRNA from 1 species